rnacentral:rRNA from 1 species
AGAGUUUGAUCCUGGCUCAGGACGAACGCUGGCGGCGUGCUUAACACAUGCAAGUCGAACGGUAAGGCUCCUUCGGGGGUACACGAGUGGCGAACGGGUGAGUAACACGUGAGCAACCUGCCCUUGACUCUGGAAUAACAGUUGGAAACAGCUGCUAAUACUGGAUAUUCAUUGUCCUCCUCCUGGGGGGUGGUGGAAAGCUCCGGCGGUCAGGGAUGGGCUCGCGGCCUAUCAGCUUGUUGGUGAGGUAAUGGCUCACCAAGGCUUCGACGGGUAGCCGGCCUGAGAGGGCGACCGGCCACACUGGGACUGAGAUACGGCCCAGACUCCUACGGGAGGCAGCAGUGGGGAAUAUUGCACAAUGGGCGCAAGCCUGAUGCAGCAACGCCGCGUGCGGGAUGACGGCCUUCGGGUUGUAAACCGCUUUCAGUAGGGAUGAAGCGGGAGUGACGGUACCUACAGAAGAAGGACCGGCUAACUACGUGCCAGCAGCCGCGGUGAUACGUAGGGUCCGAGCGUUGUCCGGAAUUAUUGGGCGUAAAGGGCUUGUAGGCGGUUCGUCGCGUCAGAAGUGAAAACUCAGGGCUUAACCCUGAGCCUGCUUUUGAUACGGGCGGACUAGAGGGAUGCAGGGGANAACGGAAUUCCUGGUGGAGCGGUGGAAUGCGCAGAUAUCAGGAGGAACACCGGUGGGCGAAGGCGUUUCUCUGGGCAUUUCUGGACGCU